CCUACGGGAGGCAGCAGUAGGGAAUCUUUCACAAUGGGCGAAAGCCUGAUGGAGCAACGCCGCGUGCAGAAUGAAGGCCUUCGGGUUGUAAACUGCUUUUAUAAGCGAGAAAUAUGAUGGUAACUUAUGAAUAAGGAUCGGCUAACUACGUGCCAGCAGCCGCGGUCAUACGUAGGAUCCGAGCAUUAUCCGGAGUGACUGGGUGUAAAGAGUUGCGUAGGUGGCAUAAUAAGUAGCUAGUGAAAUCUGGUGGCUCAACCAUUCAGACUAUUAGCUAAACUGUUAAGCUCGAGACCGUUAGGGGUAACUGGAAUUUCUAGUGUAGGAGUGAAAUCCGUAGAUAUUAGAAGGAACACCAAUAGCGUAGGCAGGUUGCUGGGACGGUUCUGACACUAAGGCACGAAAGCGUAGGGAGCAAACGGGAUUAGAUACCCCUGUAGUC
rnacentral:rRNA from 1 species